rnacentral:lncRNA from 1 species
CUGAUUGUACACAAAAAAUCAUAUGAUUUGAAGAUCCCUAGCCUAUGCAUCAAAUGAUCAAAAAAUAUAUUUAAUUUUAUUUUAUUUACACUAUCCAAUUUUUGACUACUUAUGCAUAUACUAGAGGUCUCGAAAUUAUAUAAUAUUUUGUAUGCAAGUAGUUUUGAUGUAGUAGAUCGUAUUCAACAGAUUGGAUCAU